UACGGAGGGGGCUAGCGUUAUUCGGAAUUAUUGGGCGUAAAGGGCGCGUAGGCGGCCCGGUAAGUCAAAGGUGAAAUCCCUCGGCUCAACUGAGGAACUGCCUUUGAAACUGUCGGGCUUGAGGCCGGGAGGGGGUAGCGGAAUUCCCAGUGUAGCGGUGAAAAUGCGUAGAUAUUGGGAGGAACACCGGUGGCGAAGGCGGCUACCUGGACCGGUUCUGACGCUGAUGCGCGAAAGCGUGGGUAGCAAACAGGG
rnacentral:rRNA from 1 species